rnacentral:ncRNA from 1 species
CAGAGUAGGUCGGUUCGUGUCGAGUGCCGCCGGGACGGGGAGUUGCCGGGCGGACGAAGAACGGUGAACGCCGUCACAGUGAACCGCCCGCAUCCCGCUGU